rnacentral:rRNA from 1 species
AGCAGGUAUCAGGAUACAACACGUUUUAGCCAAAGACACCUUGCAAGCGCCACACCCACACGGGACUUCAGCAGUAAUUAACAUUAAAUAAAUGAGCGAAAGCUCGACUUAGUUAUGAUGAACAUGGUCGGUAAAUUUCGUGCCAGCCACCGCGGUUAUACGAAAGACCAGAGACAACGACCAGCGGCGUAAAGCGUGACUAGAGGCACAAACCAUUAAAGGGGCACAGCGGCCAAGUCGUAAAACGCUACUGCACGCUAGAACAACAACACAAACGCCUUUAAACCACUUUACCUCACGAAAGCCAAGAAACAAACUGGGAUUAGAUACCCCACUAUGCUUAGCCCUAAACACAGAUAAUACAAACACAAUAUUAUCCGCCAGAGAACUACAAGCGAAAAGCUCGAAACUCUAAGGACUUGGCGGUGCUUCAAAUCAACCUAGAGGAGCCUGUCCUAUAAUCGAUACCCCGCGCUUAACCUUACCCCUCCUAGCCAACCAGCCUAUAUACCGCCGUCGCCAGCCUACCCUGUGAAAGAGACAAAGUGGGCAAAAAAGUUAACAACUAACACGUCAGGUCAAGGUGUAGCAAAUGGAGUGGAAGAGAUGGGCUACAUUUUAUCAAAGAAAAAACACGAACAGCGUUCUGAAACACACACUCG